rnacentral:rRNA from 1 species
GACGAACGCUGGCGGCGUGCUUAACACAUGCAAGUCGAACGGGAUCUUCACUUCGGUGAAUUUCUAGUGGCGAACGGGUGAGUAACGCGUGGGCAACCUGCCCUUUAGUUGGGGACAACAUUCCGAAAGGGAUGCUAAUACCGGAUGAGCUUCAUUAGCCGCAUGGCUUUUGAAGGAAAGAUGGCCUCUUUACAAUGCUAUCGCUAGAGGAUGGGCCCGCGUUUGAUUAGUUAGUUGGUAGGGUAACGGCCUACCAAGACGACGAUCAAUAGCCGGUCUGAGAGGAUGAACGGCCACAUUGGGACUGAGACACGGCCCAAACUCCUACGGGAGGCAGCAGUGGGGAAUCUUCCGCAAUGGACGAAAGUCUGACGGAGCAACGCCGCGUGAGUGAUGAAGGUUUUCGGAUCGUAAAACUCUGUUGUUUAGGACGAAUGUGCUAUACACUAAUAUUGUAUAGUAUUGACGGUACUAAACGAGAAAGCCACGGCUAACUACGUGCCAGCAGCCGCGGUAAUACGUAGGUGGCAAGCGUUGUCCGGAAUUAUUGGGCGUAAAGAGCAUGUAGGUGGAUUAUUAAGUCGGACGUUAAAAUGCGGGGCUCAACCCCGUAUUGCGUUGGAUACUGGUAAUCUUGAGUGCAGGAGAGGAAAGGGGAAUUCCCAGUGUAGCGGUGAAAUGCGUAGAUAUUGGGAGGAACACCAGUGGCGAAGGCGCCUUUCUGGACUGUAACUGACACUGAGAUGCGAAAGCUAGGGUAGCAAACGGG